rnacentral:miRNA from 1 species
UACUAGCUUUGGAAAUGUUGCCU